rnacentral:rRNA from 1 species
GAAAGCAGGGGAUCGUAAGACCUCGCGCUAUUGGAGCGGCCGAUGUCCGAUUAGCUAGUUGGUGGGGUAAUGGCCUACCAAGGCGACGAUCGGUAGCUGGUCUGAGAGGAUGAUCAGCCACACUGGGGCUGAGACACGGCCCAGACUCCUACGGGAGGCAGCAGUGGGGAAUUUUGGACAAUGGGCGAAAGCCUGAUCCAGCCAUGCCGCGUGAGUGAAGAAGGCCUUCGGGUUGUAAAGCUCUUUCGGCCGGAACGAAAUCGUCCGGGCUAAUACCCCGGAUGGAUGACGGUACCGGAAGAAGAAGCACCGGCUAACUACGUGCCAGCAGCCGCGGUAAUACGUAGGGUGCAGGCGUUAAUCGGAAUUACUGGGCGUAAAGCGUGCGCAGGCGGCUUCCUAAGUCAGAUGUGAAAUCCCCGGGCUUAACCUGGGAACUGCGUUUGAAACUACAAAGC